CUAGUAAUGAAUAAAUCAGCAGCUCAGGAUGGAUUUCAGGAGUUCAGUUGUCUUCUUCUGUCUAUAAUCCAAUGUGUGAUACAUUCCCAGAUAGGAGCAGACAGGUCCAGCCACACAUAUACACUGUUACUUCCACACUCCUGAUCACAGUCGUGCACUAGACAUAGGUAUACACAAGUCAACACACAGGCACAUGCACUCACUCCUCCUCUCAGACACUAUCAAACAGCCUGCUCUCCUAUUGGAUUCCCC